rnacentral:rRNA from 1 species
ACGGAAGGCAGCAGUGGGGAAUAUUGCACAAUGGGGGAAACCCUGAUGCAGCGACGCCGCGUGAGUGAAGAAGUAUUUCGGUAUGUAAAGCUCUAUCAGCAAGGAAGAAAAUGACGGUACUUGACUAAGAAGCCCCGGCUAACUACGUGCCAGCAGCCGCGGUAAUACGUAGGGGGCAAGCGUUAUCCGGAUUUACUGGGUGUAAAGGGAGCGUAGACGGUAAUGCAAGUCAGAAGUGAAAGCCCAAGGCUCAACCAUGGGACUGCUUUUGAAACUGUAAUACUAGAGUGCAGGAGAGGUAAGUGGAAUUCCUAGUGUAGCGGUGAAAUGCGUAGAUAUUAGGAGGAACACCAGUGGCGAAGGCGGCUUACUGGACUGUAACUGACGUUGAGGCUCGAAAGCGUGGGGAGCGAACAGGAUUAGAUACCCUGGUA